AACAGACUGAAAUACGAUUGAAAUUACACCAUUUUCCCCUAGAAGUCAAACUAUGAAGCACUUUAUAGUCCAUAAACUAAGCAGGUGGAGAGAUUUGUCAUGUUACGGAAGAGGGAGGUUGGCCCAGUUGGGCGGGGCUCAGUGUAAUGGCUCCGUUCUCCACUAGAUGGCGCUGCUUAGCUUACCAGGGUGGAUUGUUGUGUCCCGUGUAGGUGCGUAUAUGCGCAUGCGUGGGAGGGGCAAAAAUGGCGUCACCCAGCUACCCCCUCUCUUAUCGCGCACCCAUCCUUUGUCAUUGGCUUCUGGCGGCUCCCCACUUUUAUACCCUCCAUGACCAAGUCAUCAGGGUUCCAGGCGGCACUUCCCUCUUGAGUUUUAUCUCAGAUGAGACUGUGUUUCCCGACCCCUCACUUCCGAGGGACCGCGGCUCUGACCCGCUCCGCCCCUCUGCGGGAGGGUCUCACCGAGCACUGGCCGGGUGCCGCCGCCCCCAGGAAUGUUGGCUGGACCGUGCUGCUGACCCCCAGAGACUGCGGCUGGGCUGGGUACCAGCCGCCCCAGAGAAAGUUCCUGCGAUCGGGUGGCAGCAGCAUUUCAGGGAUUAUGGAAAAUCUCAGUGCACAUCUGGCUUCACCCCCAGCGACCUUGUUCCAGCACCAGCGAAUGCGAUUGUUCUCCAGGGUCCACUGGGACCGGGUGGCCGCACAGCCUCUACCGAAUGUCCUCCCAGCAGGGGAACCGCCUCUCCCCAUGUGGCCUGAAGAGCCCCGGACCCCACUCUGCUCCUGGGGUUUCGCCCUUCCCACCGGAGCACCACCAGGUGGACUUGAGGCGCCAGCAGAUCUCGCAGAUUGUGGAGGAGGUACAGAGGGUCGUCCACCAUCUGACCACAGAGAUCAGCCUCCAAGACCUCCGAUUUCAGGCCGUCCCUUACUCUGACACAUACAAUGGGAACAUUAAGGUUUUGGCCCCCAGCCAGUUCCUCGUCACGGUCCCGGUGAAGGGCCUGGUGGGGUACAGGGAGGCCAGGGAGCAGCGCUGGCGAUACUACACCCUGCGGGGCACCAGGCUCCCCUGUCCCUUGCAGGACCCAGAGGGCCUGCGGCAGUGGCUGGAGGCGGAGCAGUUCAUGAAGAGCCAGUGGCAGUGGCAUGAGGCAGACGUGAACAUUGAGGGAGAUAUUGUGCCCGCCAAGGUGCUCCAGGUAUUCCGGAAGCUGGUAGAAAACGCAAUUGGAACCUGUCAUCUCUCAGGUAAGGUCAGCAUGCUGACGCAGCUCUCAGCAGUUUGGGUUGCCGUGGAAACCUCCACAUGUCAGGUGGAACUAGAGCUGGUCCCCACGGUGGAGAUCCCUACCGUCUGGCCCCAGAAAGCUCGCUGGCCUCCCUGUCUGAAGCGCUGGCCUUCCCGACAACGAGUGGAGUGUAUCAAGUCGUUUGGGUUUGCCUUGUUGGCCUGUUCAAAUUAUCACUGGCAGCAGAGUUUCCUGCAGGCUGAGCAGGUGCUGCUAGACCAGCUGGAUGAGGACGGGGGCUGCCGCAGGAAGUGCUUCCAGGCCCUGAGGCAGAUGAAGGAGGAUGUCUGGUGUCCGGGAAAGAGGCCCGUCGUCACGUCCCACCACCUGCAGAACACCAUCGUCUGGGGAGGAGAGAAAAGUUUUGGCUCACCUGACAGAAGAAAAGUCACAUUAACGCCGAUACAAGAAUGAGGUCUCCCGCCAGAAUGAUCAGUUUUCUUGUCAAGGACUUCACAGUGACUUACCGAAUUUAACAACAGUCAACAGAUCCUCCUGGAAAAAAGAAAGAGAGAAGAGGCUGAGGUGCCCCUCGCAUGCAAUGAAAAGGCACCGACCUCUGAACCAGGAAGGGGGCUCUCACCAAGAAGCUUUCCGUCGCCACCUUCAUCCGGGACUUCCUGGCCUCCAGAACGCUCAGAUGGACAGCACUGAAAAAUCACAAAUCUGAGAAACCCAGGACGAUCCCAUGGGCAUGGAGAUUGCUGCAUGGGCCAGAACCCAAGGCCCAAGGGCACAGAGUUCGCCUUCUCUAGACCUUGCCAAACGCUGGCCGUCCUUCCUGGUGGCAAGUUCAGAGGAUCACGGCACACCCCCCACAGAGCAGGUGGAUCUGGCCUUCACACAUGAUGAGCUUUCUGCACGUCCUCAGCUGGGAAUGCACAGGACCCCAUGUUUUGAUGGUUUAACCUAUGAAAUGUAUGAGGAAGCCCGCCCAGGCAGACGCGGCUCCCUCAGGGCCUGGCCAAUGGCUGAGAUGGGGCACCGAAGACAAACGGGUGUUGGCGAGGUGCCGGGGAGCUUACCAGACAGACAGCUAUCCAGGCAGCUCUCCCGGCGGGUGUUCCCGCACCACUCUUCAGGGGUCACCCUGCCCUCGCGGUGGUGUUGCAGAAGCAUAGCCAGGUUCUAGAAUGGAGAAAGGAGCCUGAAGCAUGGGUAGGCCAGAGGAAGAGGGCGAUGGACACCUCAAAGGGCAUCAUAUUCCCUGAGCAUCUCAUGCUAUGGGCUGAAUUGUGUUCCUCAGAAUCCUUAUGUUGAAACCCUAGUCCCCAAGGUAAUUUGGAGACAGGGCCUAUAAGGAGACAGUUAAUGUUACCCGAGGUCCUAAGGGUGGAACCCUGAUCUAUUAGGAUCGGCGUCCUUAGGAGGAAAGACACCAAAGAGCUUGAUUCCUCUCUCUCUCUCUGCUCUGUGAGGGCACAACAAGAAGGUGGCCCCAUCUGCAAGGUAGGAAGAGAGAUCCUACCAGGAACCGAAAUGGCCCCAACCCUUCGGUCUUGGACUUCUAGCCGCCAGAACUGUGAGAAUUCCCAGUCUGUGGCAUUUUGUUAGAGCAGCUGGAUUAGACUCAUGCAACCACCGAGAUGGCAAUUGCUGACAGAUCAGGCUGACCUUCAGUUUCCCCCCUGCUUCCAGCAAUGAAAUUUCAUCCUAGUCUCAGCGACCAUUGUGCCACAAUAUCACUUUGUGAAAAUGAUGGCAAAGGUGCCACUUGUGGAGAAUCUGCGCAGGGGAGGGAUUUCUCUGCCUCAUGCCCACACCAGGCCAUGCCUCUGGUGAGGCCUGGAAAGCCAGGUCAGGCCCCAGUGGUUUCAUGGAAGCCAGCCCCAAGCCUGGUUGCUCCGCUCCGGGGGCACCUAGAACCUUCCAACCAUGACUGUAACAUCCCAGAGAAUGGACUCGAGCCCUGCCUCAUCCCACCCCACCCCACUGUCCAGGACAGCACUCGUGCCAACACGAGGGCCCCCCCCCGGAGUGUUCCUCCCACAGCCAGAGUCACGGGCCACCCACUUUGCAUCCCUCCCUGCAACAAUCCUGAAAGAUAAUGUAGCUCCCAAGGACCCCAAACUUUCCAUGUUCCCCACAUCUUAGGGAGCUCAGUGUAUGAAAAGGCUGGCUCUACACGCUGGUUGUGAUUUAUAAGAAGACUCAGCAGAAUUCCUUUCACUAGGCCCUUCCUUCUUUUCUAUCAAAAAUACAAGGCUUUAAAAAACUUGUGUUUUUCCUUGAAUUCCUCAAUCAAAUGUAUGCUCUGUGAGAUAAAGGAAUAGGAAGAUUUGAAGCAGGUAUUGGAGUUGAUCCCACGAGAACAAGCCAGCCUUGGGCCUCGGGAACAGCUGGCUAGAGCCCACAGUAGCCACUGAGAGGGAAAGGGGGAGAGGAGAGAACGGCCGAGGGUGUCACGCACAAGGAAGCCUGGUGCUCGCAGUUGGGCAGUGCUAGCACUCCGACCCCUCGGUCACCCUCUGAUGUCAUCUGAGCCCAUCAUGUAUCCAGUUCUGGCGGCAACCAUGAGCAUUUCUGACCACAGGCAGUGUGUGCCAGGAGGCUUUGUCCCAUCUGUCCACGCCUGCCCUCUGCCUCUGCUUUUGGCCACCAAGAUCGAAAACACGCCCCCGAGCCCUACAGCCCAGGGGCACCAAGCGACCCACACAGAUGCAUUCCGCUCAAGCUGCCAUCACAGAAAUGCACUUGUGGUGAUCCUUCCUCUGCCUCCAUGAGAGUGUUGAGUGACCUGGUUCUGGGAGCCCCUUAUUUUCUCCUUGGAUCCCAGACACAAAUAAGAAUAAAGCUUGCUUACAUGCCGAGGACGUUUCUGAGCUCUGGUGCCCGCAGAAUUUCCUAGGACUGAGAACGCAAGUCUGUCAUUAUGGUAUUUGCAGAACCAGAGACUGUAUUUAAGUCUUCAAGAGGAUGCUUAUUAUAACCCCUUUCUUGGGACUCUCAUGCCAAAACACUACACGAAUAGUCUUUUUCAAGGAAAUUUGCCAGGGAAGGCAGCAAGCAUCUGAUCACAUAGGAAUAGUUUUGGGUCGAUUUCAAGCUGUAGAGUCUAGGGGAGAAGGAAGUUUUCCUGACGGCUGCCCUGGGGAAGGAGAAUCCACACGGGGCUGUGUAUUGCACAGGCUGCCAUUGAGGGACUGCCAUCUUCAGAAAUGAUGACGGGAACAGUGGGCCUUGGAGUUGAGCAUGGUUGACAACCUUUCCUGGCACGCGAAGUGGGUAUCCACGGAAGACACUGAAUCCUGAUUGAAAGAUUAACGAUGGGGAAAACCGGUGCCUCAGGGGAUAGACGAGGGUUCUGAGCUCUUCUGGGGGAGAAAGCAGACACCCAAGCCAGACACAUUGAACUUCCAAAGGAGUCACGUUGGGGUGGGAGGAACCUUCUCUCCAGUAAAGUUUCUAUUUUUUUUUUUUAAUGUUUAUUUAUUUUUGAAAGAGGCAGAGACAGAAUGCGAGUGGGUUAGGGGCAGAGAGAGAGGGAGACACAGAAUCGGAAGCAGGCUCCAGGCUCUGAGCUGUCAGCACAGAGCCGGAUGCAGGGCUCGAACUCACCAGCCGUGAGAUCCUGAGCCGAAGUCGGAAGCUCGACCGACUGAGCUACCCAGGCGCCCCGUAAAGUUUCUAUUUUUAAAGACUAAUUCCAAACCCAUUUCCAUUGCUCAGUGGUCAAAAGCCAUUUUACCAUUUUGAAUUUCUCUUUGUUUUAAAAACUCAUAAUGUCAUUAGAGAAAGUGCAUCCUACAUCAUUAAUAUCACUAUGAUACAUUAGCACAUUAAAAAAUCCAAAACAUUGUAUCUUUUCUUUUUAUCCGCUAUUACUUUGCCUGUGGGGAGGAAAGGAAGUGCCAUGCACAAAGUCAUGCUCUAGGAAGAUUGAUCUGGAAGUGGUAGAGACACGGAGUCAGGGAGGUGCCUCAUUUCUUCCUUUCUUCAGUAAACAUUUAUUCAGCACUUGCCAUGUGUCAGGUGUAUAAAAAUGGUUUCUUCCCUCCAUGUCAUUUUAGGU